GUCCCUGUAGCUUAUAAGCUAAAGCAUGGCACUGAAGAUGCCAAGAUGGUUGCUCACACAAACACCCGGGGACA
rnacentral:tRNA from 1 species